GUUUGACAACGCUCCCCUAUUUUUUUUAAUCGUUAUUCUCCUUAUCGACUGACUUGCUCUUUCUAAACGACAAGCAAUAGUCAGGAUACUUUAUAAUAUGGAAUAACAUGUUUUCUUCGAGUGCCAGACUCUGGACACAUCACAGAAAGAAAAUAUUAAAAAGUUCUUUGAAAUUCGCUGUAAAUCCGGUGGCGCAGAUUGUGGACCAGUAGAAUCAGUUGGUGACAACGUCUACAAGACCGCAUUUAUUGACCAGAAAGUCCAGGAGAGGGUACUUCAGAAAGCUCAUGUGUUGGAGAUGCCUGGAGGACCUCUCUCCUUCACUCUGAGAGGCAGCCAGGAGCCUCCACCCACAACAACCUCCCCAGUCAGGAGAUUUGCCACUCGUUCCAGGUGAAAACAUUACCAGCUUGUGGUCAAGAACAUGUACUUCAUUGUCUGAGCUUAGGGAAGCAGAAGAUCAACACCACAUGUCGUCUGGGAGAGGCCAAGCUCCGUCUUCUAGGGAAAGUGAUAGAGAAGGAUCUAGGUGAGGUUGUUCCAGGGGUGAAGGUGACACAUGGUGACUCAUCUCAGCUGGUGCUAGAGUGAAGUCUGUACAGCCAGACAGUUGGUUACGGAUAAGAUCUCUCUGGUGCUGUGCCGGGUGGUGCCUGAGGUGUCCCCCCACCUCCUGUCCUUCCUGAGGGAUGAGUAUGGGAGGCCUGGGAACCUGAGCAGUCUGCUGGGGUUGGGACUCCAUGUGGAGGUAGAGUUGGAGGAUACAGAGCUCCGUCUGUUCUCCCUCUCCUCUGGGAAACUGGACCAGGCUGAGAAGGAUCUGCUGGGAGAGUUUGGGGAGGAAAAGAUCGAUGUGCCCAACUGUGGCAUCCUGGCUGAACUUAAGUCUGACCUUGAGACAAAGGUGAAGGAGAUGAACCAGAGCAGAGCAGGGUGGUGGCCAGGUAUGGUCCUGGUUGUAGAGUGCAGCUGCUGGGCCACAUAAAGGAGGUUCAGGAGCUGAGGGACGAGAUCAGGGCCUUUCUGAGAGACCAGUCCAGUGUAAGAGUUGUGGGACGCCCUCAACAGAACCAUGGUGGCGUAGUCGGUGAAGCAGGCACCGGACCAAGAUGUGAGGAGACGGUCGCAGCGACCAGCUAUCACCUCCAGGGGGGGCUGCAGGUAGAUGUUUGUCAGGGUGACAUCACCAAGGAACGGGCAGACGCACUGGUGAACGCAGCAGAUGAGAAUCUUGAUCACGGUGGUAGAGUGGUAGAGACUACAGGAGGGAAGUUGCCUUGUAAGAUGCUGCUGCAUGCAGUGGGACCAGUAGGGGGCAGUGCAGGUGGGAAUGAGCACCCUCUGCUGGAGAAGACAGUAAAGACAGUCCUGGAUCUGGCAGAGACCAUGGAACUCCAGACCCUGGCCAUGCCCUGCAUCAGUUCAGGGUUAUUCGGCGUUCCUCUGAAGGUGUGUUCUGAGGCCAUAGUCUCUGCAGUGAGGGACUUUGGGAGGGAACAGCACAUCCUUACCAAGGUCACUCUGAUUGAUGUGAGUGGAGAGGCAGUGGGAGCCAUGCAGGAGGCCUGUGAUAGGCUAUUACAGGCGAAGAGGGAGUUUCCUGGAUGGGAGGUAGAGUCCAGCACCACCACUACCACUACACAUGCUCCUCAGAGAGACACCACUGCUGCCUCCACCAGGGGACCAGUGGCUCCAGAGGUCUGUGUCCAGGUGGAGAUCAUCCAGGGAACCAUAGAGAAACAGCAGGUGAGAGAGAGAGAGACACACUGACAUGGCCACAGCCUUGAUUCAACAACAUUCUGUGAAUUAGGUUGACUUCAUUCUGACUCAAUGUUCCCUUUCUCUUCCUUUUUCUCUUACCCUUUUUCUCUCUUUCUUUCUUUCUCUCUUUCUUUCCCC